rnacentral:rRNA from 1 species
CUCAUAAGGGCGUAUGGUGGAUGCCUUGACUCAAACGAGCGAUGAAGGACGUAGCGGGUUGCGAUAAGCCUCGGGGAGCUGCCGAGCAAGCUUUGAUCCGGGGAUUUCCGAAUGCGGCAACGCAUCUCGAUUUAUAUCGGGAUAUCGUUAACUGAAUUCAUAGGUUAACGAAGCGCACCCAGGGAACUGAAACAUCUUAGUACCUGGAGGAAAAUACAUAAACUAGAUUCCGUGAGUAGUGGCGAGCGAAAGCGGAGAAGCCUAAACCCCGACACUUGUGUCGGGGGGUUGCGAGACAUUAACGUCCUAUCUUGUGAAAUGUCGGAUAUAGUUGCCGGCUUUUCACUUGACGGGAGUGAAGUUACAAAUUGUUUUGUUAGCCGAACAUCUCUGGAAAGAGAGACCAAAGAGGGUAAUAGUCCCGUAGGCGAAAACGAAACAACUUUAUUGUUAUUGUUCUCAAGUAAGGCGGGACCGGAGAAAUCCCGUCUGAAGCUGGGAGCACUAAACUUCCAAGGCUAAAUAUCGUUUGAGAUCGAUAGUGAACUAGUACCGUGAGGGAAAGGUGAAAAGCACCCCGUUGAGGGGAGUGAAAUAGAACUGAAACCAUACGCUUACGUAGAGUAGGAGCUCCGACAUGACGUCGGGGUGACUGCGUGCUUUUUGUAGAACGAGCCAACGAGUUAAUUCUAUGCGGCAAGUUUAAGCAGUUCAAAACUGUGUAAACAUAGUGAAAGCGAGUUUUAAUGGACGAAAUAAGUCGCAUGGAUUAGACCCGAAGCCGGGCGAGCUACGCAUGAGCAGGGUGAACCCCGAGUAACAUCGGGGGGAGGCCCGCACCCACGCGCCGUACAACACGCGGGGAUGACUUGUGUGUAGAGGAGAAAUUCCAAUCGAGCUCGGCCAUAGCUGGUUCUUCCCGAAAUAGCUUGAGGGCUAGCGUCGGGGAACAUAAUCGCGGGAGGUAGAGCUACUGAAUGAGAGAUCGUGGAGCAAUCCUAGGUCUCUCAACCAAACUCCGAAUGCCCGUCGAUUUUAUCCCGGCAGUCAGAGUAUGAGGGCUAAGCUUCAUGCUCAAAAAGGAAACAGCCUAGACCGCCGUCUAAGGUCCCUAAAUCUAUGUUAAGUGGUAAAGGAGGUGAGAUCUCCUAGACACCUAGGAGGUUGGCUUAGAAGCAGCCAUCCUUUAAAGAGUGCGUAACAGCUCACUAGUCUAGAGAUUUCGCGCCGAAAAUUCAACGGGGCUCAAACAUAGUACCGAAGACGCGGGCUCCGACGUUAAGUCGGAGCGGUAGGGAAGUGUCCUCAUCUGCUGCGAAGCUCCGAUGUGAGUCGGAGUGGAGCGAUGAGGAGUAAGAAUGUUGGCAUGAGUAACCGCAAUUGGGGUGAGAACCUCCAACGCCGAAAGUCCAAGGUUUCCUGGGCAAUGUCGAUCAACCCAGGGUUAGGCGAUCCUAAGGCGAGGCCGAAAGGCGUAGUCGAUGGACAGCCGGUUAAUAUUCCGGCCCCGCAAUAUUAUUCGACGGAGUGACGUAUUCUAGUAGUCUCUGCCCCUUAUUGGAUUGGGGUAGGUGUGUUGAGGGCGUUCUCUUGGCAAAUCCGGAGAGCACAACCCAAGGCACAACUGGAAGUCCGAUUUAUCGGGCGAACGGAGAUGAGCAGGGUACCGGGAAAAACUUCUAAGUUCAAAAUAAUAUUGCGUCCGUACUUAAAACCGACACAGGUGGACUGGGCGAGUAGCCUAAGGCGAACGGGAGAACCCUCGUUAAGGAACUCGGCAAAACAACUAGACGUAACUUAGGGAGAUGUCUUUCCCCGAUGAAUAAUCGGGGGUGCAAUUAAAGAUUCCAAGCGACUGUUUAUCAAAAACACAGGUCUCCGCAAACCCGUAAGGGGAAGUAUGGGGGCUGACGCCUGACCAGUGCUGGAACGUUAACGGGAGCGGUGCAAGCCAAUCCCCGAAGCGCCAGUGAACGUCAGCGAUAAC